UACGGGGGGGGCAAGCGUUGUUCGGAAUCAUUGGGCUUAAAGGGCGCGUAGGCGGGCUGACAAGUCAGGGGUGAAAGCCCACGGCUCAACCGUGGAAGUGCCUUUGAUACUGCCAGUCUGGAGGGAGGUAGGGGCGUGCGGAACUUCCGGUGGAGCGGUGAAAUGCGUAGAUAUCGGAAGGAACACCGGUGGCGAAAGCGGCGCGCUGGACCUCUUCUGACGCUGAGGCGCGAAAGCCAGGGGAGCGAACGGG
rnacentral:rRNA from 1 species